CAAGGUGUAGCGCGGUCUGGUUAGCGCAUCUGUUUCGGGUACAGAGGGCCAUAGGUUCGAAUCCUGUCACCUUGA
rnacentral:tRNA from 2 species